rnacentral:rRNA from 1 species
GAUGAACGCUGGCGGCGUGCCUAAUACAUGCAAGUCGAGCGAACAGACGAGGAGCUUGCUCCUCUGACGUUAGCGGCGGACGGGUGUGUAACACGUGGAUAACCUACCUAUAAGACUGGGAUAACUUCGGGAAACCGGAGCUAAUACCGGAUAAUAUAUUGAACCGCAUGGUUCAAUAGUGAAAGACGGUUUUGCUGUCACUUAUAGAUGGAUCCGCGCCGCAUUAGCUAGUUGGUAAGGUAACGGCUUACCAAGGCAACGAUGCGUAGCCGACCUGAGAGGGUGAUCGGCCACACUGGAACUGAGACACGGUCCAGACUCCUACGGGAGGCAGCAGUAGGGAAUCUUCCGCAAUGGGCGAAAGCCUGACGGAGCAACGCCGCGUGAGUGAUGAAGGUCUUCGGAUCGUAAAACUCUGUUAUUAGGGAAGAACAAAUGUGUAAGUAACUAUGCACGUCUUGACGGUACCUAAUCAGAAAGCCACGGCUAACUACGUG